GACGAACGCUGGCGGCGUGCUUAACACAUGCAAGUCGAACGGAAAGGCCCUGCUUUUGUGGGGUGCUCGAGUGGCGAACGGGUGAGUAACACGUGAGUAACCUGCCCUUGACUUUGGGAUAACUUCAGGAAACUGGGGCUAAUACCGGAUAGGAGCUCCUGCUGCAUGGUGGGGGUUGGAAAGUUUCGGAGGUUGGGGAUGGACUCGCGGCUUAUCAGCUUGUUGGUGGGGUAGUGGCUUACCAAGGCUUUGACGGGUAGCCGGCAUGGGAGGGUAGACGGCCACAUUGGGACUGAGAGACGGCCCAGACGCCUACGGGAGGCAGCAGUGGGGAAUAUUGCACAGUGGGCGGAAGCCUGAUGCAGCAACGCCGCGUGCGGGAUGACGGCCUUCGGGUUGUAAACCGCUUUCGCCUGUGACGAAGCGUGAGUGACGGUAAUGGGUAAAGAAGCACCGGCUAACUACGUG
rnacentral:rRNA from 1 species